CACGUAGGGGGCGAGCGUUGUCCGGAAUUACUGGGCGUAAAGAGCGCGUAGGUGGUUAAGUAAGUCAGGUGUGAAAGGCCAGGGCUCAACCCUGGGAUUGCACUUGAAACUGUUUAACUUGAGGGCAGGAGAGGUAAGUGGAAUUCCUGGUGUAGCGGUGAAAUGCGUAGAUAUCAGGAGGAACACCAGUGGCGAAGGCGACUUACUGGCCUGGCUCUGACACUGAGGCGCGAAAGCGUGGGUAGCGAACAGGAUUAGAUACCCUGGUAGUCCACGCCGUAAACGAUGGGUACUAGGUGUAGGAGGUAUCGACCCCUUCUGUGCCGCAGCAAACGCAUUAAGUACCCCGCCUGGGGAGUACGGCCGCAAGGUUGAAACUCAAAGGAAUUGACGGGGGCCCGCACAAGCGGUGGAGUAUGUGGUUUAAUUCGACGCUACGCGAAGAACCUUACCGGGGCUUGACAUCCUUCGCUAUCUGAUGAAAGUCAGAGUUCCCUUUGGGACGAAGAGACAGGUGGUGCAUGGCU
rnacentral:rRNA from 1 species